rnacentral:rRNA from 1 species
CAGUCGCCACGGUAAUACAGAGGGUGCGAGCGUUAAUCGGAUUUACUGGGCGUAAAGCGUGCGUAGGCGGCUUUUUAAGUCGGAUGUGAAAUCCCUGAGCUUAACUUAGGAAUUGCAUUCGAUACUGGGAAGCUAGAGUAUGGGAGAGGAUGGUAGAAUUCCAGGUGUAGCGGUGAAAUGCGUAGAGAUCUGGAGGAAUACCGAUGGCGAAGGCAGCCAUCUGGCCUAAUACUGACGCUGAGGUACGAAAGCAUGGGGAGCAAACAGGAUUAGAGACUCCUGUAGUCCCUGUCUCUUAUAC